rnacentral:rRNA from 1 species
GACGAACGCUGGCGGCGUGCUUAACACAUGCAAGUCGAGCGGUAAGGCCCUUUCGGGGGUACACGAGCGGCGAACGGGUGAGUAACACGUGGGUGACCUGCCCUCAGCUCUGGGAUAAACCUGGGAAACCGGGUCUAAUACCGGAUAUGACUCCAUGACGCAUGUUGUGGGGUGGAAAGCCUUGUGCGGCUGAGGAUGGGCCCGCGGCCUAUCAGCUUGUUGGUGGGGUGAUGGCCACCAAGGCGACGACGGGUAGCCGGCCUGAGAGGGCGACCGGCCACACUGGGACUGAGACACGGCCCACGACUCCUACGGGAGGGCAGCAGUGGGGAAUCUUGCGCAAUGGGCGAAAGCCUGACGCAGCGACGCCGCGUGAGGGAUGACGGCCU